rnacentral:lncRNA from 1 species
UCGGCCUCGGGAUCACCAUAGCGGUGGCAUGUUGGGCACCUCAGCGGAGACCCUCCCUGCGGGCUUCCGUGUGUCCACCCUGGGUCCGCUGCAGCCUCCACCCGCCCCGCCCAAGAAGAUCAUGCCGGAAGCUCACUCCCACUAUCUCUACGGACACAUGCUCUCCGCCUUCCGGGACUAGCCACGGCCCCCAGGGCGGGUGUCCUGGUUUCACAGGCUCAGCCGGCCCUGAUCCUUCCUGCUCGUUCCCUUUCUCCCUUGGCUCCCAGUCUCUCCUCUGUGACUUUCCAGUUGCCCAGGAACUCAGAAUAUGCUCAUCCAGUCCUUCGGCAUCCCACUACCCGAGUCCUACUUCGUUCCCCCUUUGUAAGUCUCUGGUGGAUGUGGCCAAGGUCUCUGUGAGUGGCGGGCACCCAGGCUGUAGGUGCUUGAGAUCCUGUGGGGGGAGGGAAGGACAGCACCGUGUGUGUGGCCACCUUCCCUCCUCCGGAUCUGUUUUGGUCUGAACUAUGGGCUCAUCAGGCUCAGAAUCCUGGACCAAGGACUGAGAUGACUCUUCCAAUAAAAGGCCAUUACGGACUCUGUCCUGCUUGGACUAAUUGGCCUUCUGGUUCCCUCCACUCUGGCAGUGCCGGACGGU